rnacentral:rRNA from 1 species
CUACAAACGUGAUACAAUGGACUGGAACAAAGGGAGGCGAAGGGUGACCUGGAAGCGAAACCCAAAAAUACAGUCUCAGUUCGGAUUGAAGUCUGCAACUCGACUUCAUGAAGUCGGAAUCGCUAGUAAUCGCGGAUCAGAACGCCGCGGUGAAUACGUUCUCGGGGUUU